rnacentral:rRNA from 1 species
CAGCGCCACGAGUGGCGAUCCGCAUUAUUUGGCCUAAAGCGUCCGUAGCUGGUUUAGUAAAUCUUUUGUGAAAUUGUUUUGCUCAACGAAACAACGUGCAGGAGAGACUGCUUGACUAGGGACCGGGAGGAGUCAGAGAUAUAUCAGGGGGAGCGGUAAAAUGCUAUAAUCCCUGAUAGAUCACCUGUGGCGAAGGCGUCUGACUAGAACGGGUCCGACAGUGAGGGACGAAAGCUAGGGGAGCAAACCGGAUUAGAUACCCGAGUAGUCC